rnacentral:rRNA from 1 species
AGUGAACGCUGGCGGUAGGCCUAACACAUGCAAGUCGAACGGCAGCACAGGAGAGCUUGCUCUCUGGGUGGCGAGUGGCGGACGGGUGAGGAAUACAUCGGAAUCUACUCUGUCGUGGGGGAUAACGUAGGGAAACUUACGCUAAUACCGCAUACGACCUACGGGUGAAAGCAGGGGACCUUCGGGCCUUGCGCGAUUGAAUGAGCCGAUGUCGGAUUAGCUAGUUGGCGGGGUAAAGGCCCACCAAGGCGACGAUCCGUAGCUGGUCUGCGAGGAUGAGCUACCACCCUGGAACUGAGACACAGUCCAUACUCCUACGGGAGGCAGCAGUGGGGAAUAUUGGACAAAGGGCGCAAGCCUGAUCCAGCCAUACCGCGUGGGUGAAGAAGGCCUUCGGGUUGUAAAGCCCUUUUGUUGGGAAAGAAAUCCAGCUGGCUAAUACCCGGUUGGGAUGACGGUACCCAAAGAAUAAGCACCGGCUAACUUCGUGCCAGCCGCCGCAGUAA